rnacentral:rRNA from 1 species
GGACCCGAACGCGCAUCAACUAGUUGGUGAGGUAACGGCUCACCUAGGCAGGAUGAAAACCCGACCUGAGAGGGUGAAGGGCCACACGGGGACUGAGACACGGCCCAGACUCCUACGGGAGGCAGCAGUAGGGAAUCUUCCGCAAUGGACAAAAGUCUGACGGAGACAACGCCGCGUGAGUGAUGAAGGCUUUCGGGUCGUAAAACUCUGUUGUUAGGGAAGAACAAGUGCUAGUUGAAUAAGCUGGCACCUUGACGGUACCUAACCAGAAAGCCACGGCUAACUACGUGCCAGCAGCCGCAGUAAUACGUAGGUGGCAAGCGUUAUCCGGAAUUAAUGGGCGAAAAACGCGCGCAGGUGGAUUCAUAAGUCUGAUGUGAAAACCCACGGCACAACCGUGGAGGGUCACUGGAAACUGAGAUACUUGAAUGCACAAGAUGAAAGAGUGAAUUCCAUGUGUAUCAGAAGAAAUGCGUAGAGAUAUGGAAGGAACACCAGUGGGCGAACG